rnacentral:rRNA from 1 species
UCCAGACUCCUACGGGAGGCAGCAGUGGGGGAUAUUGCACAAUGGGGGGAACCCUGAUGCAGCGACGCCGCGUGAAGGAAGAAGUAUCUCGGUAUGUAAACUUCUCUCAGCAGGGAAGAAAAUGACGGUACCUGACUAAGAAGCCCCGGCUAACUACGUGCCAGCAGCCGCGGUAAUACGUAGGGGGCAAGCGUUAUCCGGAUUUACUGGGUGUAAAGGGAGCGUAGACGGCAGAGCAAGUCUGAAGUGAAAGCCCGCGGCCCAACUGCGGGACUGCUUUGGAAACUGCCCGGCUAGAGUGCUGGAGAGGUAAGCGGAAUUCCUAGUGUAGCGGUGAAAUGCGUAGAUAUUAGGAGGAACACCAGUGGCGAAGGCGGCCGCCUGGCCUGUUGCUGACGCUGAGGCACGAAAGCGUGGGGAGCAAAUAGGAUUAGAUACCCC